rnacentral:rRNA from 1 species
UGCGUAGGUGGUGAGGUAAGUCGGAUGUGAAAGCUCGGAGCUCAACUCCGAAAUGGCAUUGGAAACUACCUUGCUCGAGGGUUGGAGGGGGGACUGGAAUACUUGGUGUAGCAGUGAAAUGCGUAGAUAUCAAGUGGAACACCAGUGGCGAAGGCGAGUCCCUGGACAACUCCUGACACUGAGGCACGAAAAGCUAGGGGAGCAAACA